UUUUUAUUGAGAGUUUGAUCCUGGCUCAGGACGAACGCUGGCGGUAUGCUUAACACAUGCAAGUCGAACGAGAAAGUUUUGAAUGAUCCUUCGGGUGAAAUUAGAACUGGAAAGUGG
rnacentral:rRNA from 1 species